CGAGACGGAGUUUAAGCAAUUAAACUUUAGUGGCGAACGGGUGAGUAACGCGUAAGCAAUCUGCCCCUAAGACGAGGAUAACAGUUGGAAACGACUGCUAAGACUGGAUAGGAGACAAGAAGGCAUCUUCUUGUUUUUAAAAGACCUAGCAAUAGGUAUGCUUAGGGAGGAGCUUGCGUCACAUUAGUUAGUUGGUGGGGUAAAGGCCUACCAAGACUAUGAUGUGUAGCCGGGCUGAGAGGUUGAACGGCCACAUUGGGACUGAGACACGGCCCAAACUCCUACGGGAGGCAGCAGUAGGGAAUUUUCGGCAAUGGAGGAAACUCUGACCGAGCAACGCCGCGUGAACGAUGAAGUAUUUCGGUACGUAAAGUUCUUUUAUUAGGGAAGAAUAAAUGAUGGAAAAAUCAUUCUGACGGUACCUAAUGAAUAAGCCCCGGCUAACUAUGUGCCAGCAGCCGCGGUAAUACAUAGGGGGCAAGCGUUAUCCGGAAUUAUUGGGCGUAAAGGGUGCGUAGGCGGUUAAAUAAGUUUAUGGUCUAAGUGCAAUGCUCAACAUUGUGAUGCUAUAAAAACUGUUUAGCUAGAGUAAGAUAGAGGCAAGUGGAAUUCCAUGUGUAGUGGUAAAAUGCGUAAAUAUAUGGAGGAACACCAGUAGCGAAGGCGGCUUGCUGGGUCUUUACUGACGCUGAGGCACGAAAGCGUGGGGAGCAAACAGGAUUAGAUACCCUGGUAGUCCACGCCGUAAACGAUGAGUACUAAACGUUGGGUAAAACCAGUGUUGAAGUUAACACAUUAAGUACUCCGCCUGAGUAGUACGUACGCAAGUAUGAAACUUAAAGGAAUUGACGGGACUCCGCACAAGCGGUGGAUCAUGUUGUUUAAUUCGAAGGUACCCGAAAAACCUCACCAGGUCUUGACAUGCUUCUGCAAAGCUGUAGAAACACAGUGGAGGUUAUCAGUUGCACAGGUGGUGCAUGGUUGUCGUCAGCUCGUGUCGUGAGAUGUUGGGUUAAGUCCCGCAACGAGCGCAACCCUUAUUGUUAGUUACCAGCACGUAAUGGUGGGGACUUUAGCAAGACUGCCAGUGAUAAAUUGGAGGAAGGUGGGGACGACGUCAAAUCAUCAUGCCCCUUAUGACCUGGGCUACAAACGUGAUACAAUGGCUGUUACAAAGGGUAGCUGAAGCGCAAGUUUUUGGCGAAUCUCAAAAAAACAGUCUCAGUUCGGAUUGAAGUCUGCAACUCGACUUCAUGAAGUUGGAAUCGCUAGUAAUCGCGAAUCAGCAUGUCGCGGUGAAUACGUUCUCGGGGUUUGUACACACCGCCCGUCAAACCACGAAAGUUGGCAAUACCCAAAGCCGGUGGCCUAACUUCGCAAGAAGAGGGAACCGUCUAAGGUAGGGUCGAUGAUUGGGGUUAAG
rnacentral:rRNA from 1 species